rnacentral:rRNA from 1 species
GUUAGUUGGUGGGGUAAUGGCUUACCAAGACUAUGACACAUAACUGGUUUGAGAGGAUGAUCAGUCACACUGGAACUGAGACACGGUCCAGACUCCUACGGGAGGCAGCAGUGGGGAAUAUUGCACAAUGGACGAAAGUCUGAUGCAGCAACGCCGCGUGGAGGAUGACACAUUUCGGUGCGUAAACUCCUUUUAUAUGAGAAGAUAAUGACGGUAUUAUAUGAAUAAGCACCGGCUAACUCCGUGCCAGCAGCCGCGGUAAUACGGGGGGUGCAAGCGUUACUCGGAAUCACUGGGCGUAAAGAGCAUGUAGGCGGAUUAAUAAGUUUGAAGUGAAAUCCUAUAGCUUAACUAUAGAACUGCUUUGAAAACUGUUUAUCUAGAAUGUGGGAGAGGUAGAUGGAAUUUCUGGUGUAGGGGUAAAAUCCGUAGAGAUCAGAAGGAAUACCGAUUGCGAAGGCGAUCUACUGGAACAUUAUUGACGCUGAGAUGCGAAAGCGUGGGGAGCAAACAGGAUUAGAUACCCUGGUAGUCCACGCCCUAAACGAUGUACACUAGUUGUUGUGAGACUUGAUCUUGCAGUAAUGCAGUUAACACAUUAAGUGUACCGCCUGGGGAGUACGGUCGCAAGAUUAAAACUCAAAGGAAUAGACGGGGACCCGCACAAGCGGUGGAGCAUGUGGUUUAAUUCUACGAUACACGAAGAACCUUACCUGGACUUGACAUAGUAAGAACUUUCUAGAGAUAGAUUGGUGUCUGCUUGCAGAAACUUAUAUACAGGUGCUGCACGGCUGUCGUCAGCUCGUGUCGUGAGAUGUUGGGUUAAGUCCCGCAACGAGCGCAACCCUCGUGUUUAGUUGCUAACAGUUCGGCUGAGAACUCUAAACAGACUGCCUAAGCAAGUAGGAGGAAGGUGAGGACGACGUCAAGUCAUCAUGGCCCUUACGUCCAGGGCUACACACGUGCUACAAUGGGAUAUACAAAGAGCGGCAAUACGGUGACGUGGACCAAAUCU